CCUACGGGAGGCAGCAGUGAGGAAUAUUGGUCAAUGGGCGCGAGCCUGAACCAGCCAAGUAGCGUGAAGGAUGACUGCCCUACGGGUUGUAAACUGCUUUUAUAAAGGAAUAAAGUGAGGUACGUGUACCUUUUUGUAUGUACUGUAUGAAUAAGGAUCGGCUAACUCCGUGCCAGCAGCCGCGGUAAUACGGAGGAUCCGAGCGUUAUCCGGAUUUAUUGGGUUUAAAGGGAGCGUAGAUGGGUUGUUAAGUCAGUUGUGAAAGUUUGCGGCUCAACCGUAAAAUUGCAAUUGAUACUGGCAUCCUUGAGUACAGUUGAGGUAGGCGGAAUUCGUGGUGUAGCGGUGAAAUGCUUAGAUAUGACGAAGAACUCCGAUUGCGAAGGCAGCCUACUAAAGUGCAACUGACAUUGAUGCUCGAAAGUGUGGGUAUCAAACAGGAUUAGAUACCCGGGUAGUC
rnacentral:rRNA from 1 species